GCGCAGCUGAUCAGCCAUGCCGCGUGAGUGAUGAAGGCCCUAGGGUUGUAAAGCUCUUUCAGCGAGGAGGAUAAUGACGUUACUCGCAGAAGAAGCCCCGGCUAACUUCGUGCCAGCAGCCGCGGUAAUACGAAGGGGGCUAGCGUUGUUCGGAAUCACUGGGCGUAAAGCGCACGUAGGCGGACUGAUCAGUCAGGGGUGAAAUCCCGGGGCUCAACCCCGGAACUGCCUUUGAUACUGUCAGUCUUGAGUCCGAGAGAGGUGAGUGGAACUCCGAGUGUAGAGGUGAAAUUCGUAGAUAUUCGGAAGAACACCAGUGGCGAAGGCGGCUCACUGGCUCGGUACUGACGCUGAGGUGCGAAAGCGUGGGGAGCAAACAGGAUUAGAUACCCGGUAGUCA
rnacentral:rRNA from 1 species